rnacentral:rRNA from 1 species
UACGUAGGAGGCAAGCGUUGUCCGGAAUUACUGGGCGUAAAGCGCGUGUAGGUGGUGGGACAAGUCUGCUGUGAAAGCGCCUGGCUUAACCGGGCGAGGUCGGCGGAAACUGUUCGACUCGAGGACGGUAGAGGGGGGUGGAAUUCCCGGUGUAGUGGUGAAAUGCGUAGAGAUCGGGAGGAACACCUGUGGCGAAGGCGGCCCCCUGGGCCGGCCCUGACACUGAGACACGAAGGCGUGGGGAGCGAACGGG